rnacentral:lncRNA from 1 species
UAAGCCUGUCUGAUUUCAGAGCCCAUUUACAUGACCACCAGGCAUACAGCCUUCCCUGUACUAAUGAUCAUCUCCAUGUCUGUGUCUCUGCUCAGGAACCUUCUGUGGCUCCCCAGUGCCCCUAAGAUUAAAUCCAGACAUCUGGCCUGAUGCUGGUUCCUUUCCUCUAUUUGCAUUGUCCUUUCAGGUCUCACUCUCUCUUGCCCAAUCUCCUACUUCUAGGUCCCCUUCUCUUAUUCUCUGAUGCUAUGAAGAGAAUAAGGCAUUAUGACUGAGACUGUCCAGGCAUCUGUUUUGCCAGGGGGAUGUGCAAAGAGCUG